UUCCAGGAAAUGAAACUGCUGCUCAUCUGAAAAAGGAAACCGAAACUAAAGCAUUUUGACUGAGGUAUCAGCUCGUCUGAGUGACCAUAAACAACACAUCUUUAGUGCAUUCUCAUUUAAAAGUAUCGUCCAUCUGGAUGCACAAAACGAAGGAUGCCAUUUUUGGACUAAACAAAAGGCGUCACGAAAGAGAAAGCUGCAUGAUCAUCGUGCUUGCUUUAGUUUUCCUUUUGUUUUGGGCCGCGUAACAAUAAGCAGGAAUAUGCCGAACAACUUCAUAAAUUGUACCAUGGAAAUCACGCCCUUGGAUAACAUCAGAACCAGAAACAGAUCGACUUGACAUCUGAAAGAGAAAGAAAAAUAUCCCAUUCUCUGAGCACAACAAGCAACACUUGAAGAGGAGCCUAAAACAGACCUAAAUUAGUGAAGCUCAGUGCAUGUCCAAUGAUCUGAUGUUGGGGACUGGAGACCCACAUUCCAAUCCUUGCUCACUGAUGUUCAUGGGGUGAUCUCAAACCAUUCAGUUUCCCAACAUAAUUGAUUUCAUAGGGUAGUGCUGAAAGUUAAAAUGAGUGGGGGUAGGGUGUACAGUGUUCCCUCAUUUAUCGCUGGGGUUACGUUCCAGGACCCCCCCCCCCCGUAAUAAGUGAAAAUCUGUGAAGUAGGGACACUAUAUUUAUUUUAAUAUUUAUACAUUAUUUUAGUAGUUAUACACUAUUUUAAGUCUUUAUCAAACAAUCGUGUAUUGAUAAAUCGCCUCCUUCUCCUCCUGUUGCCGCUUGGGCUCCUUUUCUCUCCCAUUGGCUUCUCCGUCCUCUCUUUCUUAGGCUGUAAAUUGUAAUUUUUUAUUAAUUAUAAUAGUCUUUUAGAGUUUAUUGAAAAACCGUGAAACAGCGAAUCUGCAAAAAGUGAACCGCAAAGUAGUGAGGGAACACUGUAUAUAAUUUUUACUGAAGGGAGGGUUUGGUAUACUGUAUAAGAUAGAAAUCUAAAAAUAUCUGUUUCUUCCCUUUAGAAAUGGCAAGUGCUUUUUCAUUGUAGCCAAAGUAUAUAUCACAUAAGAAACCAGCAUGGCGUUCAGAUAUUGCCCUAGAUGUUUAUUUAUUUAUUAUUUAUUUACAACAUUUAUACUCCGCCCUUCUCACCCGAGAGGACUCAGGGCGGCUUACAAAAAUUGGCAAAAUUUAAUGCCCAAAAUGCAAUAAAAAAACAAAACAAUAUAAACAGAUCCAUUAAAACAUUGUUAAAACACAUUAUAAAAACCUUAAAAACCUAGAUACCCAAGAGCUUGCCCACUUUUUCUUGCAGCAAAGUUUUAUGAUCUGUAUAUAUCAUAUUAUGACAUGCCAAUGUGAAAUGAAGUCCAUUAGAUUUAAGAAGUGAUUAACACAUGAAUGAAGAACAAGGAACAGUGAAAAGAAGAUAAAGAUUUCUUUCCUCAUGCCUAGUUUAGACCCUAAUCUUUUUUUAAAGUGAAGACAGAGAUCCUUUGGCUGGGCCGUCCGAGUGGGAGGGAGAUCCAGCUGCCUACCCUGGAUGGCGAGACUAUGUCCGUCAUCUUCUGUAAAAAGUCUUGGUGUCUUAUUGGACUCUCUGCUCACAAUGGAGGACCAGGUCUCUGCUGUGAGCAGAUCAAUGUUUUUCCAUCUACGUCAGGCUAGGCGACUGGCUCCCUACCUAUCUAGGAAUGACCUGGCUACAGUGAUCCAGGCGACGGUCAUCUCGAGGCUCGACUACUGUAAUGCCCUCUACAUUGGCCUUCCUCUGUCAGUGAUCCAGAAACUGAAGCUGGUGCAAAAUGCGGCGGCUUGUCUUCUCGCCGGGGUGCCGUAUCACCCCAAUUCUACAACAGCUGCACUGGCUACCGAUUGAGUACUGGAUUACUUUCAAGAUACUGGUACUAACCUUUAAGGCCUUACAUGGUUUGGGGCUGGCAUACCUGAGGGCCCGCUUAUCCCCCUACCAACCCCAGAGAUUACUUCGGUCCGAAGACCAAAAUUUGCUUGAAGUCCCUAACAUACGGACUUAUCAUUUGUCUUCUACUAGGCAGAGAGCCUAGUAGUAGUAGAUUGUAGCCCCUCAUUUAUGGAAUGCCUUGCCAGUUGAAACUCGAAUUAUCCGAGACCUACUUGCCUUUCGGAAAGCCUGCAAAACCUUGCUCUUCCGACAAGCUUUCGAUGGGUGAAAAACUCGGGGCUAUGUCUAUUUUUAUUGUUGUUUUUAUUGUUUUUAUUGUGAUUUUAAAGCUAAGUGUAUUGUUUUAAUCUAUUUCUGUAAACCGCUCCGAGCCAAACUGGGAGUAGCAGUAUACAAGUCUAAUAAAUAAAUAAAUAAAUAAAUAAAUAAAUAAAUAAAUAAAAUACUUUUGAUCAAUAUACAUCAAAGCACUCCUUAUUUAUUAAUUUGUUUGUCCUAGCUUUCCCUGCAGAAACACUCAGGGCAGCAUGAUUUUUUCUCCCCUUCCAUUUUACCUUUACAACAAUUCUAUCUACUGGAUAAGUACAAAGAGUAUGACCACCCUACAAUCACACAAUGUGCUCCAUAGCUGUACUCAUUAUUGUGGUGGAUUUCACAAAUGGGUUGUAAGUUAUGUCCUAGAUUUGAUAUUUUACACCAUCUAUAAUUAGAGAUCACAGGAUUGGAGAAGAACUUUUGAAUUAUUGGGGAGAAAGGACUUCUGUUUACUCUCAAGCUCAACUGAAGUAUUCACACUAUCCCAGCAGUAAUGCAUUGUUGAAGGCUACUCCUAUUAAUAAAUAUGGAAUUUUGGAGCAGUGUAGUUUUGGAUGAAUAAUUUAACCUAUUAGACUUACAAAAGGGACAUUACCUAAUUAUAAAAGUGCUAAGCUGAUUCAUUUAUAAGGAUCAAGUUAAGUCCCUGCAUUUUUGAACUCUCCUUGGCUUUUGCAGACUGUUAUGAAGAGUUACCUGUACUUCAACAUUUUUCACUCCUCAAAGCGCUGGCAAAACACCACACUGGUAUUAUAUUUGCCCCUUCAUCAUGGUGGUUUUAUAUUGGAAUGUUGCAAUGUAACUUUGGCUGUAAUAACUCAAAGUUCUCUAUAUUUAGAAAGUGGUUAUGUCAUCAGGAAUGAAGAAGUACCACCAAAAGAGAACAGGAAACAGCCACAUUUAGUUUUAGAAAAACUAAGUAUUUUCCUUCUUUGCAUUUGUUGUUUAUUUGCUGGAAACCUUUAAGCUUUAGGACCAACUCUGUUUAAUAACAUUGUUCUAUAGAAUAGCUGUAAAAAGAUGCGAAGACAGCA